GGCCCCUGUCCGGCCCGGGCCGCGGCCCCUGCGCCCCUUCCGCCCCUCGCGCCCUCAGCCUCCUCUGGGCCGUGUUUAUAGCUGCUGCCCGAGAGACGCUACCCGGGUUUUAUUUUAAGGGCUGGUGAUGACUAACGAAGUUAAAAGGAGCUUAGGACAGAAAACAAGACUAUUUUUAGGUGACUGUUGUUUCUGCGGAUUAUUGGGGCGAAUACACCCAGAGGAGCUCACCAUUCUCCAAGGCCCUUUGGCCGCUGGACCCUCGCUCCCGGAGCGCCCUGGACGUCCACCCACUCAGGCUCCUCUCCAGACGGGGAUCCCGCAGCCUGGGCUCUGUGUCCAAGUUCCAGUGCUGUGGGCCGUUGGGGACCGGAGCUCAGGCCCUGUGCUGUGGGUCAGGGGGCCCCCGGAGCUCAGGCCCUGUUGGAGUGCUCCCCGCCCACCCUGGGGGACCCUUGGGGUCAGGAGAGCCUCCCAGAGCUCAGGCCCUGCAGGAGUGAGCCCCAUCUGCCCUGGGAUGGGGUAGCUGGGAUGUUCCAUCCUCUGGAGCAUCUGGGGCACUGCUGCAGGGUAGAGGCUCCUGGGCAACUGUCUCACUCCCCACUUUGCUCCUAUUACUCAGCUGGGCAACCAGGUGCCACUUCUUGCCCCUCAGUUUCACCCCAGACAUCUGCGAGUCAAGUGUGAGUGCUCCAUUCUUGCCGGAUGCAUAUGGGAAGCCAUCCCAGGGGCCACUGAACCCCCUCCUGAAGGAACACUGAGCCUCCAGCUGCUCCCCAGGGGCAGAUGUGCGAGCUUCCCAGCAGGACACAGCAGAGGCCUUGUCUCAUCAGCUGCCCCGCCGGAACUCGGCCUGGGCACCCAGUCAGCACCAGUACCAGGUCUAAAGCCCCCAUCAUCAGUCCUGGUCCCGGAGCCUACUGUGCCUACUGUGAUGGCCUCAGCUGCCGGUUGGCUUCUAGCCCGGAGAACAUUCCAUCGCCUUGGAAAGGACACGGAUCUGCUCUGCCUGUGGAGUGCCCGCGCACGGCGCCAGGUCUGGCUGGUUUGCACACAGCCGCGUGGAGAGUGGGGUCUCGUGUCUCCAGCUACUGCCGCUCCACUCUCCAUUUUCUUUUCCUCAGCUUUGUUUCCCAUAUUUCCGAGCUCUGUUGCAUCUUCCUCAUGGAUUCCCUUUUCUCAUUAGCAAACACCCCUCUUCAUCUCUAAUUACACUUUUUGGGGGUAAAAAUCCAUCUUGUCUGACAUCAGUACAAGCCUCUCCAGCUCCCGUCUGGCUGCGCUUUGUACAAUUCAUCGCUUUCCACCCCGUUAGUCCAUCUGCUCCUUGAACCCACAGAGCGUCUCCUGUUGGAUUGUGGGGCUUUUGUUUGUUGGCUUGGCUUUUGCCCACUUGACAAUGUGCCUUUUGAUCGGCUCCUUCGAUUGAUCUACAUUUAAUGUCAUCAUUGGUAGAGUUGGAUUCACACCUGCUGCAUUUUACUCUUUUGUUUUCUGCUUCUCUCCUGUCUUUCUGGUCCUUCUGUUCUCCCUUCAUCUUUUUUUUUUUUUUUUUUUUUUUGUAAAUGGUAAGGGCCUACUUCUUUAAAAGAUUCAUUUAUUUAUUAUUUGAGAGAGAUAAAGAGAGGAGGAGAGAGAGUUUGAGCACAUGCGUUCAGGGGGAGGAGGGAUAGAGGGGGAGCAUCCUAAGCAGACCCCCGCUGAGCAGGGAGCCCCACUCAGGGCUGAUCCCAGGACCCUGAGAUCACAACCUGAGCCCAAGUCAUGAGUCUGAUGCUCAGUGCACUGAGCCCCCGGGUGCCUGUGACUCUUCUGAUGUAGCGUUUUAAUCGCGGUCAACUUGAGAUUUACAGCAGCUUCACCCCAGUGAUGGGCGUGAACACCAGUCCUGGGGGGUUAUUCCCUUUCCGUUUCUUACGAGACUGUCACAUACGCUAUAAGUCCUAAUGCCACGAACCCAACGACACCCUGUAAUAUCAUCACUUUGCCAUCGGGAUGCAUUUCCCUACUUCCGUCGUGUCGUUAUUGGCGAACAUGCGAUGCGUAUUCACAUUUCUCUUAAUCACGGGCCUGGCGUUAUGUUGCAGACACAUUGUUUUAUACAGUUGCUUUUUAAAUUGGUUAUAGAAGAAAGGAGAAGCGUUCCACGUGUGUGUCAAAGGACGUGAUCCCCUUUAUGGGCAGCCCAUGUCGUGGUGGGACCCUGGCGUCCAUGUGGGUCGUUUGCUUUCAGCCUGCGGAGCAUCGUCUAGCGGGUCUGUUCUGCGGUGCUGGGACAGACCCCGUUCCCCCCAUUUCUGACGACGGGUUUGUCGCUGAGAGCAUUCUGGGUUGGUGGGUGCAUUCUCCCCUUGAGCACCUGGAACGCGCCGCCUGCGGCACUAUCUCCGCCGAGAGGUCCCACCCGCCACGUGUCCCGGAUAACUGUGACGUGGGCCACAGCCCUGGAUGCCCACCCACAGCCGGCGCUCCUGGUUCCUCCAAGCCCCCAUAUCCGCCCUUGCUCUUCGUCCCCCGCUCUCAGUGUCUGACCUUCUGAGCCAUCUGCCCGUAAACCUGCUCUUGUUUCCACCCAUCACUGGGACUCCUCCCUCACGCACCACCACCGCCAUCGGUCCGUCCCCUCCCCAGAGGCAACGGUUGUUGCAUGUGGCCAGGCAGCCUGGGGCCUCCUCAGUGAAGCCCAACAUCUGGCAGAUCCCGGGCAGCUUCCCUGCCUGCUUUCUUCCCGACGCGUGUGUCAUGCUUUCCUGCUCCUCCACACGCCUCCUAGUUGUUCAUCGGAAACUGGACAUUUUAGAUCAUAUAUUGUAGCGACUUUGGGUUCUGCCCCCCAUCUGGGGCCGGUUACUGUCACUCACUUGCUUGUUUAGUGACUGGCUGGAUUAUUUUGGUGAUGUCUACUGCCACCCCCGGUCCCGUGUCUGGCCUCUGGCAUUGGUCCCGGGGACCAACGUGGGGAGCCCACAGCCCUGUUCCUCCGGGAGGGAGCCCCCCGCUGGGCCUGGGCAGGGGUCUGCUUAUUGAGCUGGGGGCGGGUCUGGGUUCCCACACCAGCUCCUCUUGUCUCCCCUAGGGAUGCGCUCGGAUUUUCUUCAGUGGAUGUUCCAUUUGCCAUUUGCCCUUAGGACAGAUCCCAGAGGCUUUAAAGGGUUGCUUUUGAUUUAAGUGACAUCCUGCCCUUUCCCCGGAGCAGGUCAGCAGCUCCCCAGCAGGUGGCUUCUGUGCAGCCGCCCCUCUGAACACCCCACCCACACCCACGGGGCACCC